GGGGAUUGGCGGCGGGCGCGCCACUCGCCAAUCCGGUCAGAUCCGAGAGGAAGCAGCCGUAACGAGACCGGCUCGGGUCGCCAGUCCAGUCCCCCAC
rnacentral:SRP_RNA from 1 species